UACGGAGGGGGCUAGCGUUGUUCGGAAUUACUGGGCGUAAAGCGCACGUAGGCGGAUUGUUAAGUCGGGGGUGAAAUCCCGGGGCUCAACCCCGAAAUGGCCUCCGAUACUGGCAAUCUUGAGGUCGGGAGAGGUGAGUGGAAUGGCGAGUGUAGAGGUGAAAUUCGUAGAUAUUCGCCGGAACACCAGUGGAGAAGGCGGCUCACUGGCCCGAUACUGACGCUGAGUUGCGACAGCAUGGUGAGCAGACAGG
rnacentral:rRNA from 1 species